rnacentral:rRNA from 1 species
AUGUGUUCAUCCAAGUCACAGCUUAGAUCCACGCCUCCUGCGUCGCACCACACCGCCAGCCAGGUGCUCCCUCUCCCUCUCAUCCGGUGCCCGGAAUGCAACGCCGGCUUCGUUGUGUGGUUUGUCUCAGGGACUGUAGAAAACCCGGGGAGGCACUUCUACAAGUGCGUAAGGCAUGGAUUCGGCGGCUGCAGAUUUUGGAAAUGGGAGAACAAGUACAUACAGUACUUCAGCGCCCGUUGGGGACACCUCAUUUCACAUGCAUCAGUCCAUCGUCAUGUAUCACUGCUUGAGGAAAAUCAAGCAUGGCUGAAGAACAUCUUCGUGCUCGGCGUCGUCAACCUGGCGGUCAUGGCCAUGAUUUGCAUGCUGAAGUUCUGGAUGUCAUUCCGGCCCCUCCCACCCGACAUGUAUCCAGCGUGCUUGAGUCAAUGUAGGUCACCGUAUGGUUGUAGCUAG